CUCCCCUUGUGUCAGUCACCAUGGUGGCAGACAGCAAAAAGCUGUGGCGGCGGACCCAUCGUCACUUUUAAACCCAUCAUAAUGAUUUUUUAAAGGUUGCCUUUGUACAUAUAGCCUAUACAUUUAUUAUAAAAAAUGGACAACCGGUUAUUGUCAGGAUAGAUUAGUAGUUUGCUAUUUUAUUUGAAGGCGGAUACAUUGAAUUGUGGCAAAAUCAAGAAUGCUGAAGAUACAUAUAUUUGCUUUUAGCGUCGGCUUAGAUAAAGGAACAGUUUUUCCAUAAUACAACUGUAUAGCGACACGUCUACUGGGAUUUGGAUUCAGGAUUCUUCGAGCCGCACCUUAAUAGCAAGUUUUUUUUGUUGGGAUCGGUGGCAGCCUUUUGAUAUCGGUUUGGGGACAGGAGAAACCCCUAGGCUCACAUUGUGGCCUGGCCAUUGUGGCCUGGGACUGAUACAUUUCCUAUCUUUAGACCACUGGAGUUCUCUUAUUAGUGGAUAACAGACUCCGACUGUGGCUUGGUCUGUGAAUAUCCAGCCCUCGAAUAUUUGCACAUUGUCAACAAUAUAAGCAAUUUAAUUAUUUGAAACUCGUCUUCAAAACAAUGGCGUCUUAUGUCGAUAACAGCUUUCGUCAAGCUGUGAUGAUGAAUCCGGCAGAAAGAACGCAACAGGACCUGGAGAUAGUCUACUCCUAUCUUCACGGGAUGGAGGCCCUUUCUAACCUCAGAGAACACCAGCUGAGGAUAAUAUGUGAGACGGUGCGCUAUGAAAGACAUGAAGCCAAUGAAGUGCUCUACUACCCGGAUGACGUUGGAAGCUGCUGGUUUAUUCUACUGUCCGGGUCCGUCUUCAUCAAGGAGUCCAUGUUCCUGCCAAGAAGCAGUUUUGGAAAGCGUUCUGCGGGGAGCCUGAGACGCGGAUGCGAGUGCAUCGUUCUGGAACCUUKCGAGAUGAUUGUGGUGGACUAUAUGGAUGAAAAUGAGGAGUACUUCCAGCGGCAAGCAUCGCAUCGACAGUCCCGCCGGAGGUUCCGCAAGAUCAACCAGAAGGGCGAGCGGCAGACCAUCAUCGACACGGUGGACCCGUACCCCACCGGCAAGCCGCCCAUAGCCAGGGGAUACCAUACGCUCCCCGCAGACUUCAGCCGACUCCACCUGGCCGACGGCUUGCACCCACAGGUGACCCACGUUUCCUCCAGCCACUCAGGAUGUAGUAUCACCAGCGACUCUGGAAGCAGCAGCCUGUCAGACAUAUAUCAGGCCACGGAGAACGAACCGGGCGACAUGGACCUCAGCGGCCUGCCCGAGACCGCCGUCGACUCAGAGGAGGACGACGACGAGGAGGACAUCGAGCGAGCGUCGGACCCCCUCAUGAGCCGCGACGUUGUGCGGGACUGCCUGGAGAAGGACCCCAUGGACCGCACCGAUGACGACAUAGAGCAAUUACUGGAGUUCAUGCAUCAGCUGCCAGCGUUUGCCAACAUGACUAUGUCUGUGAGGAGGGAGCUGUGUGCCGUCAUGGUGUUUGCCGUGGUCGAGCGGGCCGGCACCAUCGUCCUCAAUGACGGGGAAGAGCUGGACUCGUGGUCAGUGAUCCUGAAUGGCUCGGUGGAGGUGACGUACCCUGAGGGCAGGCCUGAGAUCCUGUGUAUGGGGAACAGCUUUGGGGUCUCCCCCACCAUGGAGAAGGAAUACAUGAAGGGAGUAAUGAAGACCAAGGUGGACGACUGUCAGUUUGUGUGCAUAGCACAGCAGGAUUACUGUUGCAUCCUCAACCAGGUGGAGAAGAACAUGCAGAAGGUGGAGGAGGAGGGCGAGAUCGUCAUGGUCAAGGAGCACCGCGAGCUGGACCGCACCGGCACCCGGAAGGGACACAUCGUCAUCAAGGGUACGACGGAGCGUCUGACCAUGCACUUGGUAGAGGAGCACUCGGUGGUGGACCCCACUUACAUCGAGGACUUCCUGCUGACCUACAGAACCUUCCUCUCCAGCCCCAUGGUCGUGGGCAAGAAGCUCCUCGAGUGGUUCCAUGACCCAAGCCUCAGGGACAAGGUUACACGGGUAGUCUUGCUGUGGGUGAACAAUCACUUCAAUGACUUUGAAGGCGACCCCGCAAUGACUCACUUUCUAGAAGAGUUCGAAAACAAUCUGGAGAGAGAGGUCCGUGUCUCAAAAAUGUGCGGCCAUCUUAGACUGUUAAACAUUGCCUGUGCUGCUAAAGCCAAACUGCGUCUAGUGACACUGACCAAGCCGUCGAGGGAGGCCCCGCUAGCCUUCACCCUGCUGGGGGGCUCUGAGAAGGGCUUCCGCAUCUUCAUCGACAGCGUGGAGCCCGGGAGCAAGGCCGCAGAGGCCGGCCUCAAACGAGGAGACCAGAUUCUGGAGGUGAAUGGGCAGAACUUUGAAAAUGUCCAGCUCACCAAAGCCAAUGAGAUCCUGAGGAACAACACCCACUUGUCCAUUUCUGUGAAAACCAAUCUUUUAGUGUUCAAGGAGCUACUAGCCCGGCCGGAGCACGACCACGAGGCAGAGGGUGAGGAUCCGCCAGAGGUGGAACGCAAGAAUGGAGCCCCGGCACACCUGCCCAAGAUUGGGGACAUCAAGAAGGGCUCGCGCUACUCCAUCCCUGACCUGGCGGUGGACGUUGAGCAGGUGAUGGGCCUUGAGAAGGCCAGUAAGAAGGCCAAAGCCAACACGGUGGGAGGAAGGAACAAGCUCAAGAAGAUCUUCGACAAGACACUCACCAGCAUCCUUCCCCCAAAACCAUACAACGAUGUGGGCGUGGGCCAGUCACAGGACGAUAGCAUCGUGGGCCUGAAGCAGUCCAAACAGAUUCCGGCCUCGCUGCCUGUCAGCAGCAACCUAUCGUCCAGCAACCCUGACCUGCUGCAGUCCCACCACCGCAUCCUGGACUUCAACAACCAACCGGCCCCGGUCGUGACAAACAUGUCUGACCAGGUGCUGCGGGUGUUCAAGGCAGACCAACAGAGUCGAUACAUCAUGAUUGGUAAGGACACCACGGCCAAGGAGGUGGUGGCCCAGGCCAUCCGGGAGUUCGCCCUGACCGCGGUGCCCGAAGCCUAUUCGCUGUGCGAGGUGUCCGUCACGCCUGAGGGUGUCAUCAAGCAACGGCGGCUACCAGAGCAGCUGUCCAAGCUGGCUGAUAGGAUACAGCUCAGUGGCAGAUACUACCUGAAGAGCAACAUGGAGACGGAGACCCUCUGUUCAGACGAGGACGCCCAGGACCUUCUUCGUGAAGGCCAGAUCUCCCUCCUCCAGCUCUCCACUGUGGAAGUAGCCACGCAGCUCUCCAUGCGCGCCUUCGAGCUCUUCUGCGCCAUCGAGCCCACCGAGUACAUCGAUGACCUGUUCAAGCUCAAGUCCAAGACGGGCUCGUUUUGCCUCAAGCGCUUCGAGGAGGUCAUCAACCAAGAGACCUUCUGGGUGGCGUCGGAGGUGAUCCGGGAGCCCAACCAGCUCAAGCGCAUGAAGAUCGUCAAGCACUUCAUCAAGAUUGCUCUCCAUUGUAGAGAGUGCAAGAACUUCAACUCCAUGUUCGCUAUCAUCAGUGGUCUGAACCUGGCGCCGGUAUCUAGACUCCGGGGAACGUGGGAAAAGCUCCCCAGUAAGUACGAGAAGCUGUUUGGGGACCUGCAGGACCUGUUUGACCCGUCCAGGAACAUGGCCAAGUACCGCAACGUGCUCAACAACCAGAACCUCCAGCCACCCAUCAUCCCCCUAUUCCCCGUCAUCAAGAAGGACCUCACCUUCCUGCACGAAGGGAACGACUCAAAAGUGGACGGCCUGGUGAACUUUGAGAAGCUGCGUAUGAUCGCCAAAGAGAUUCGCCACGUGGGUCGCAUGGCCUCCGUCAACAUGGACCCUGCACUCAUGUUCAGAACCAGGAAGAAGAAAUGGAGGAGUUUAGGGUCUCUUAGCCAGGGCAGUGCCAACGCGGCGGUGCUGGACGUCACCCAGACAGGCGGGCACAAGAAGCGGGUGAGGCGCAGCUCCUUCCUGAACGCCAAGAAGCUGUAUGAGGAUGCCCAGAUGGCCCGCAGGGUCAAGCAGUUCCUGUCCAACCUCAGCCUGGAGACCAACGAAGAGGCGCUGCAGACCCUCUCGCUGCAGUGUGAGCCCUCCAUCAACACACUGCCCAAGAAUGCCGGUGGCAGUAAGAGGCCAGACACGUCUCCGGUGGUGUCCAGGGCUGCCAGCCAGCAGAGGGGCCAGCUGCAGAAGGGCAACCAGGCCCUUCAGGUGCCCGCUGUGGCCCUCUACCCCUCCCGCAAGAAAGUGCCAGUCAAGGACCUGCCACCAUUCGGCACGAGUUCCCCUCAGUCGCUGAAGAAGAUCCUAUCGCUGUCGGAGGAGGCCAGCGAGCGUCACAAGCGUCAGACAGAGGACACGGUGUCUAAUGCCUCCCAGCUCUCCUCCCCUCCCACCUCCCCCCAGAGCUCGCCCAGGAAGGGGCUCGGGACACUGAAGGGCCAAAGUGUCCGGAAGGUUACCUUUACCAGUAAACAGACAGCCACAGGCUACCCAAGAACGGGAGACACCUACUCAGACUCGGGUCACAGCGAGAUUUCGUCGCGCUCCAGCCUGGUCAGCAACUCCUCCUUCGACAUGGCCCAGGAGGAGAGGAGGGGGCUCAGGCACUCAGGAGGGGUGGGAGACCCCCACGCUGGAGGGGUGCGUCUGGAGAGGAGGGCUACGACCGACUCUGAUCAGUACAGCCUCGGUUCCUACUCGUCCAUGCAGGACUGCCGGGGCCUGUACCCCUGCGCCAUGGUGCUCUCCUCCCCCAGCUCGGAGGAGUUGACCCAGGACCAAGGGGACCGUGUCUCCCUGGACGCCGCCGAUAGCGGCCGUGGCUCCUGGACCUCCUGCUCCUCGGGCUCCCAUGACAACAUCCAGACCAUGCAGCAGGGACGCAGCUGGGAGACCCUGGCCUUUGGACCGGGGGGUGUUGUCGGCGGGAGCGUUGGUGUCCACCCGCACGGGGGGCCUGAAGCAUUACUAGGGGGCCCCGCUGGACUGUGGGCGUCCCAGGCUAGAGGGAGCUGGGCAUCGGCCUCUUCAUCUUCCUCUGCAGCGUACUGGGGCGAGGACUCGGAGGGUGACACGGGCACGAUUAAACGUCGAGGCGGGAAAGACGUGAACGCUGACCCAGAGACGAGUAGUAUCACGUCCAUGGGGUCUGACGAGGCCAAGCAGCACGGGAGGCCAUCGCCCAUCACCGCUGGCAACAAGGGUCUUAUCAGUGAGUUGACCUCUGAAAUGUUUGUUUGUCUGUUGUGUUGAUGUAAGGGUUAAGCUGUCCUCAUAGGCUAAUGUUAGGGUGUCCAUACCUGUUCCCAAUGUUAGGGUGUCCAUACCUGUUCCCAAUGUUAGGGUGUCCAUACCUGUUCCUAAUGUUAGGGUGUCCAUACCUGUUCCUCAACAAAUUAACAGGUUCCUGAUGAAAGGUCGGGUUUUACAAUGUUCUGAAAAUGCCAAACCCUGCUCACAUGCAUUCAUGCUUUUUACGAUUUGUGUACAUCCAUGGAGAGAAGUGCAUGUCAGCUGAAUUAUGUCCGCAUGUAGAUCUCCAUGCCAACACUUUUUCUGGGAGGUGUGUGUGGCGCAGAUGCGUAAAGUAUUAAUUCCAAUUAACUCCACCAUCUUUCACCCCCCCCCCCCUUCAGCGCGAAAGGAGAGCCGGUACCGCGAGCCCCCUCCAACCCCGCCGGGCUACACUGCCCUGACAAUCUCUGACUUCAGCGAAGGGCAGACGCAGUCGCCGCCCCCGGCCCACUCCGGCCGCCGCCCGCCCGAUUACACCACGGCCUUGCAGCGCUCGCGCAUGGUCACCCAGUCGCCUGACUCCCAUCACCACCACCAGGCCCAACAACAUGCCAAGCGCCAAGGGCUCCACCGCACCCGCUCGCCAGGCGAGGAGGAAGAGCCUGAGGAGGAAGAGGAGGGUGAGUCCUUGUCUCCCAAACUAGUCGCUCUGAGGAAGACAGUGGCACACACAACACCAGAGACAACCAGGCCAUGAGAUGAGUGUACGGGUUACAGGGCAGGUCCCCCUCAGGCUGAGAGGAUGAGCAGGUAUCAGCAGUCUGAGAACGGUCUUCUGCUGGAUGUCCUUUGCAGUGACUUGAAGUCCCUUCCAUGGGGGUGGAACAAGAGAGACUGACUUGAUUGAUUGAUGGACAGACCAAUCCAGUACGUACGUGCCUGCCUGCCUCCUCUUCCGGACUCUCCGUCAUUGGUGGACUCCUCUGCUCGUAUCCCCCCCCCCCGCCUUAAAGCAUCAUGGGGGGUUGAAUGACCCUGCAUGCAAAAAAAGAAAAUACUGUGAAGAAGAAGAUGGAGAGAUGGAAAAAGAAAGACACAAAAUGCCUGGCACUUUGGGGGAAAAAAGAAAAACAAGUCAAACGGUUUUGCUGAAAAAAACACAGCUAGGUGCGGCAACCGCGUACACACACACACACACACACACACACACACACACACACACACACAC